AAAUAAGUGCUCUAAGUGUCUAAUGAUGAAUUUCAUAGGGCAGAUUCUGAGGUGGAAACGUAAUUCACCAUUGAUACUCUUACUAUGAAUCUGAAGACACAUGGAAACUU